UUUUAAGGUACAUCUGAUAUCAGAGGAUGGAAGAGAAGAGAUGCCCCUUGACAGCAGGCAAAACCACUGUGAUCUGGGAGCAUUUCUGGGAAAUGGCUGCUGUGUGUUUGUGUGGUCUCCUCUAGGCACCUGCUGUUGCCUGCUGCUGGAGGCAGAGCCCUGGGCUGCACCUAGCAAGGAGGGGUGUAGGGUUAAACUUUGACUCUACCUCACGCUGGUGGUGCGAGUCCCUUCUGCCGUUCCUGACAGGGUUUACUAUCUGCUUUUCUAAUCCAAAGGGUCUACACUUCCCAAGCCAGAUGCUGCACAUGGGCCUAAGUAUUUUUAUAUCAGCUGGCUUCAAUCAAACAAGACAUUUAUAAAAAAAGGAAUCAGUUGCAUACGGAAGAUAUAAUUUUCCCAGCACUCCGUAGAAGGUGCAAGAAGCAACAUGGUUUGGAAGAAAAAAUAGGGACAGCUUCAACGUAGACCCUGGUCCACUCUUCAGCUCUUGCUGGAAGGUGUAGACAAAUGCCAGACAAGGACCCCUUUCUGGUGAAUCUCCCGAAGUGCUGUGCAUUCUUCAGCUGUGGCAGGAAAUAUGGCAAGCCUUUUCUUCUCCGACCAAGAAGAGCAAGUGACCUCAACCUUAGGAGCCCUUGCUGGCACAGCAAAUCCAGGCUGUCGUUCCAGACAACGUCCUGAUCUUGCAGGAAGUCAAGCUGUACUUCAUCAUUUCCCUUUGCUGUGGUUUGGCCUCGGACGGCAACAAAGGACCAGGGGGCAGCCGCCAGCCGUGCUCUCGCUCUCGGGCCGGGCUGGUGGGUUGAGACAAAGGCAGUUUCCCAGAACAGCAAAGGGAACAAGGAAAGAACAACAGGAACACUGAGGGAGGAACAUAUAACUGCGAUUGUGAUACCACUGCCCGCCAACCAGACCCGGGACCUCCCAGUCUGCGACCUCCCUCCCCCGGCAGCUCCCGCUCCGGUACCCCUGAGUAUGGCUCCCAUGGGAUG